ACUAUGAAGUGUACUAGGACCUGUGAGUAGAUAUGAUUUCGGUCAAAUCCAAAGCAUACACGAAUGAUAUAGUAA
rnacentral:sRNA from 12 species